UACGUAGGGCGCAAGCGUUGUCCGGAAUUAUUGGGCGUAAAGAGCUCGUAGGUGGCGUGUCGCGUCUGCCGUGAAAGCCCAUGGCUUAACUGUGGGUCUGCGGUGGAUACGGGCAGGCUGGAGGCUGGUAGGGGCAAGCGGAAUUCCUGGUGUAGCGGUGAAAUGCGCAGAUAUCAGGAGGAACACCGGUGGCGAAGGCGGAUCUCUGGGCCUUACCUGACGCUGAGGCGCGAAAGCUAGGGGAGCAAACAGG
rnacentral:rRNA from 1 species